AGACAAGGAGAGCUGGGGAAGGGAAUGAUGUCAUCAGAACAACAAUAGAGGAAGAUGGUUUUGGCAGCAGCUUUUGAAUAGACUUUGAAGAAAAAAAUCAGAGAGAGGGGAAAAAGGAAACGGGAAAGGGAAGUCUGUUGAGAACUCAGCAUGACAUUUGGAGUGGGUGGAGAACUUCCUGUAUAGCUUGAUGUUUGGAACAUCUGGUCACCUCUUACAAUAACAAAACCUUAGAAACUUCAGCUUUCUCAAGUGGCCAGGUUAGAAUGAGUGUGAAUUCCAUGGCCAAACCAUCAUUGCCGGAAGACGGGAAUAUCUAAAGAAAGAAAAAUUCAGAUGGAAACUGACUCAACACUGAGAACACCCCCACUAGUUCUUCGAUAACGACUCGGGGGGAUAGAUGCGAUCCCUGUUUGAAGGACGUGGAAGCAGAAAAUUUGAGACCUUAGUAACUCCGGGCUACUUAGUGAGCAAUAAAGCUGAAGUUCAGUUUGGACUCUAAAAACUACAGUUUCAGCACUUUGAAGACAAAUGUGUUUCUUCCAUGUUUUAUGAUAUGGAUUUAUCAUAUCAUAGCCCUUCUCUUUGAGUUUCUGAGUGGACCCAAAGCUGUUUUUUGAGAGAAAUAAUUGGUUCUGGUGGCACCCCUGAGGAAGCAGGACAGGCUUGUCUCUGGGUCUGCCUCGUGAAACUGGAUGUUUGGUGGAGGAGGUCGUUCUUUUCAGAUACAGAGGACUGGUUCUUUGGUGAAGACAGGAUCUUGCUCUGUCGCCCAUGCUGGAGUGCAGUAGC